CUAACCAAGGAUUGAACAAGCUGGACAUUCUGAGUCGAGACCUCGCCCUGACAAGUUGUAAGAACUCCAGUAGAGGGAGAAUCAAGAAGAAUGUGUAACUACCCGCUACUAUGGCACUCAUCUAUAACAUUUCAAACAUCUUCCUCUCGCAAGUUCUGUAUAAUAUAAUUAGUAAUAGAGCAAAACGUAACUAUUUUCACCAGUUCCUCAUCAACGGUACUCAGGUUAUAUACACAUCCGUAGCUAUACACACCCAUCUACGACUAUAUAUCGCUGCUUGCUGACAUGUAAUUGCACUCACCCAUCCUUAUAUUCAUAAAUGCAUAUAUAUACCUCAAAUCUGCCUACAUUUAUCUAUUACAAUCCCGGAGAAGAAGAUAAACAAAAUUGGAUUCCUAAAAAGUAAAAUGAUUGAAAGGAUGCAGAUAUGGAUAUGGAGAACGAUCGAUAGUGCAAAUCAAAAGAAUAAAAAGGAUACAAAAAAAGGAAAGAAAGAUAAAAGCAAAAGAAAAUUUCCCGUAACUUUAGUAUCGAUCCAAAAUUAUUGAUAAAUUUGUGAUGGGAUUACCACGAAAAAAAAUGCUUGUCAUGGUGAGGAAAGUAGUGGAAGAACUAAACAACACAAAAUCGACACAAUUUAAGUGAUUUAAAAGAAGAUACAAGCUAUUUGACGAGAGUUUGAAAAGCUUAUUCUAAAUCAAGACGCCAACAUGAACACCGCUAAUGAGUUCCAAAAGAAUAACGACGAUCUGGGAAAAAGAACCAUCAUCCAAACGGAAGUAACCGGAAAAAUGCCUGUAAUUCUGGAAUCAAUGUUGAGAAUCGCUGAUGUUAUUUUGCACUUCACGUUCUUGGUGAGAUAAGUCAUAUUUGAAUUUUGUAACAUUGAAUAUAUAAGUUUCAAAGUUUCUUUUAAAAGUUAAAGUACUAUAAAAGUUACUAUAAAAAUAAUAAUUAUAAAUUUAUCAAAGGCCAAGUAAAAUGAUACAAAUUCUUCGUUCUUUUUCUAGAAGGAUGAUAAAUAGUGAAUUAAUGAUAAUUUUAUAUUUUUCUGUAUUAAUCCUUUGUACUCUACAUCGUCUUGACCGUUAAUUUGCAGCAAAUUCGUCUUAAAUUUGCCUUAAAUUUGUCUUAAAAUUCGUUUAAUGCUCGUCGGAAUACAAAGGAAAAUUCGGUGAAUUGUCAAAAUCAGCCAAAAGUUUCGUUUCGUUGUCUUUAUACAUUACCAUGACUGCCAAAUUCGGAAUUUAAAUCUAGCAGAAAAUAAAUUCAAAUAACUUUUAAAAAUAAAAUUUAAAAUAAGUUUCAAAGUUUCUUUUAAAACUUAAAGUACUAUAAAAAUUACUAUAAAAAUAAUAAUUAUAAAUUUAUCAUAGGCCAAGUAAAAUGAUACAAAUUCUUCGUUCUAUCUCUAGAAGGAUGAUAAACAGCGAAUUAAUGAUAGUUUUAUAUUUUUCCGUAUUAAUCCUUUGUAUUCUGCUCCGUCUUUGCCAUUAAUUAGCAGGAAAUUCGUCACUCGAACACGAUAUAUACUAUACCAUAUGAUAUCGCAUAACUUUAAAACCCGCUAAUAUAUUGUAACGUUAUUUGAUUUAUAUGAAUUUUUAGACAUUCAGGAUCACAUUUUUUUACAAAAAAUCAGAACUUUAUUCUUUAUGAUUUUUGACCGUGGGACAAAUUUUAAAGUAGUCCUUUUACAUUAUCAUUUUCAUUACUGUCGUUAUCAAUGAGAUAUCUUCGUUUUUUUGGCGAUUCCUCCGAUAUCCAUGAUAUGAAUCAAAAUUAAAUUCAAUAGAUAAUUAAAAUUAAAAAGAAUCUUCUUCAAUUAAAAUUAUAAAAUAAAUUUUUUUAAUUAAAAUUAGAAAAAAACAUUAGAUUGCUUUUUUUAUAAUUUUAAUUUAAAAUAAUUUUUUUUCAAUUUUAACUUUUUUCUUUUUUUUUAAUUUAACUUCUUGUUGUUUUAAAUAAUCUUUUAAUUUUCUUUUUGACAAUAAAUUCAAAAAAAUUCCUUUAAAAUAAAAAAAAACAGAUUCAUUAUUAAUUUCAUUAUUGAUUUAUUAUUAAUUUAUUAUCUUUUGAGUGUUUUUUUUUUCACAGAUAAAUGAGAUAGGUCAGGAAUAUACAAUAUUCAUAUAUGGGUAGAUCGGUGGGUGAAUGCAAUUACAUGUAAGCAAGCAGGGAUAUAUAAAUGUAUGUGUCUUUGUAUAUCUAUAGAUAUGUGUAUAAUCUAUGUAUCGUCUGAAGAGGUCUAACGAAAAUAGUUCGAUCUUCCUCUAUCAAUAAUCAGAUGCUAUCACUAUGCUAUCAAUUAUGCUAGUCACUGUAAAAGAAAUAAUAACUCAAUAUUGCAUUACCAUUGAGCUUGAUACGAAAAAAAAUUCAAAUAUGAUUUAUCUUACCAAAAAUAAGUUAUUUAAAAUAUUAUAGAUGAUUGUAAUAAUCUUAUCUUGGCUGCUUAUGUAUUAUUUUGGCUAAUAAAUAUGACGAAUGAAAUAAAUUGAUGUGACAAAUAAAAUAAAAUAAAUUGAAGUAUGAAA